CCCUUAGAUGUUCUGGGCCGCACGCGCGCUACACUGACGAUGGCAACGAGUUUUUCCUUCGCCGAAAGGUGUGGGUAAUCUUUUGAAACAUCGUCGUGCUGGGGAUAGAUCAUUGCAAUUUUUGAUCUUGAACGAGGAAUUCCUAGUAAGCGCGAGUCAUCAGCUCGCGUUGAUUACGUCCCUGCCCUUUGUACACACCGCCCGUCGCUACUACCGAUUGAAUGGUUUAGUGAGGACUCCUGAUUGGCGCCGCCGCCCCGGCAACGGAGCAGCGGACUGCCGAAAAGUUGUUCAAACUUGAUCAUUUAGAGGAAGUAGAAGUCGUAACA
rnacentral:rRNA from 1 species